rnacentral:lncRNA from 1 species
UGUUGAUUGUACCUGUUAUACCCUGAUUUUGGACCUAAAAAUACUCGUUCAAAUUUCUUUUUUUAACACUGAUGUUUGUCAAUUCUCUGUUAUUUUUCUCUGAAUCUUUACUCUCUUUUUAAAACAUAUUUUACUGCCUCUGUCUGUCUUUUCUUGCAUUACAAGUCAUUUAAGAACUCUCUGAAACGUCGCAUUACUUUUCUUGCAUUUUAUUUCAAAAAAUCAUACAGAAGGGUAUUUUGGUCAUUUCCUGCAGUGGAACCCAUUUUAGUCCCUGUGUUUGCCUCUGAGUCUUUUCAAUUUGUCUGUACAAAUCAUUAUCGAGUCUUUAUUAAGAAAAUAAUUUCAAAAAUUGCAUUUGAGUCAAUUCGAGUCAGUCUAGUCCCUAGGGGCGUUUUGGUCUUUUCCUAUUAAUAUUUCGACAGGGAGGUAUUUUAAAAUACCUCAUGUCAAUAUUUGGUUCGUUUUAGUCCUUUUGUUGAUUUUAAUUUUAGUUUCACUUUACGUUUGUCAAAAUUACUUUUUUUAGUUCAAUUUUAUUUAUAAAUCACAAUUUAGUCCAAAACUUUUUAAUUUUUAUUUUUUGUCCAUUUUUAAUUGCUGUCCAGUCCUUUUUUAUUAUUUUUUUUGCAGAAAAGGUCUCAGGGGCAUUUUUGUCCAGAAUUUUCGCACACUUCAGUCCCAGUCCAGAUGGCAUUUUCUCAUUGGCCCACAAAUACACAUGGCAGGCUAUAAAUAGAUGUGUCAGAUCCAAAUAAAAAAAAAAAAAAUCAGUCACAUCACAAAAACAGAAAUUUCUUUCUCUCUCCAAAAUCAGUUAGAUCCAAAACAGAAAAUCACCAAAAAAUUCUCCAAGAACACCAAGAACAAAUCUUCACAAAAUCAACAAAUCCGAACCGGAUUCACUCAAAACCAACUCAAAUCAUCACAAAAUCAACAAAUCCGAACCGGAAUCAUUCAAAACCACCGCGAAUCAUCACACCAACACCAAAUCCGUACCGGAUUUUCGAGCAAAAGCGGCACCACCGGAGCAAAUCCGCGCGCGCGAGGCGGAGAGAAGAGGAGGCUCGUUUUUUUUUUCUCCGUUUCACGACGACGGUAACACUUUUUUCCCUCGUUUUCGCGCAUAUACACAUGUGAAAAGUUUGUUACGAAUCAAGAUUUGUAGAUCUAAGCUUGUACGUUCGGAUUUUUGAAAUUUUGAGGCCGGAUUCGGACUCUAGAGCGAAAAGGAUAUCUAGAUCCGUAAGCUUUUUUACAAAAAGAGUGAAAAAAUUCCGAAAGUUCAAACGUAGAUCUACGACGAAUCUCUCACCCCUUUUUAAAACUAGCACCGGAUUUGUGUAGAGGAGGUGGUGACGGAACUUUUGAUGUAAAAAUUUUUUAAAAAAAAGAAGUUCGAAUUUUCCGGCGCGGUGGCGCCGCCGCCGGAAACCGGCCGGCCGCCGCGCCGGAAUCACCACCACCACCCACCUUCGCCGGCGGGAUUUUUAGAGAGAAGGGAGAGCUUCUCUCUCUAAGUAUGACUUAGAGAGAGAAGAAGAAGAGUUUUAUGAGUUUUUGUGUGAAAAUUCCUUUUUAUACUCCCUCCGAUCCCACGCGCGCGCGUGCGUGCUCUUGUUGUGUUCCCUCGCUCUGUGAACCAUCAGAUCUGGAUUGUUCCAAGAUCUGAUGGCUGCUGUGUAUUUGAUUUUGAAUCCUGUGCGUGACUUUUUGUGUGGAAUAUGGUAUAUCUUCUGUUUGAACCGUUAGAUCUUUGAUCUAACGGUCACUGUGCUUCCUGCAUUUUACACUAUCUUUGGUGCUUUUUUCUGGACCCUUUGAUCUAAUGGCUGUGAUGUAAUAUUGGGGGCUAGAUCUGGACCUCUGGAUUCAUCCAACGGUCCAGAUUAAAUCAUGCUGAGUUUUUUUUUAAUUGCUUUAAUUGUGUUUUAAAUACCUUUUUUACACUUUCUUGGUGUUUUAUGCUUCUAAAAAUAUUUCUAAAAAUAUUUCCCUAUCAUUUUAAUUUUUCCUCUAAGUUUUAGAAUUUAUUUGCUUAUUUUUGCAUUUAUUUUCUUUACUUUGUUCUUUUAAUUCUUGCUCAUUUAAUUCUUGCUCAUUAAAUUCCAUAUAUGUUCUUGAUGCAUUUUUUCAUAUUGUGAUAUUUUGGCAUGUGAAAUAAUGUGUGAAAAUAUCUCUAGGAACAUGAUAUAAUGCUUUGCUUGUGUAUGCUCUUAUGAUCCUCACAUUGUAGCUUAAAUUCAAACCUUUCAAAAAAUGGCUAUAAUGAGGAAAUUAUGGGUCAUAUGCAUGUAUGAGUGUUAUACCUAAAUUCUAGGUGUAUUUUUUUUACCACUUUAUUUCAUUUCAUUACUUUUUUUUUUUUUUUCUCUCUUGCUAUUCUAUUCAAUUUUGUUUACCUUUCUACUAUUUUUAUGCUUUAUGAUACUAACCAUCUCAUCUCACAUUUCAUUCAUCCUAUAGUUUUGGCAUCAUUUUUUCCAUUCAUUUCUAUAUCAAUUGGGUUUGUAAUAAUCUUAGAUAGAUUAGUUCCUUUUAAAAUUCUUCACAAAGACCAUAGCAUGUAUCUAGGACAAUGUAAAGGACUAUGGACAUUAUAAGGGAUGUACAUCGACACAAGCACCGACACGCACACACGUUGCAUGAUUAUCGAUUUAGGUGUAUGUUUAGGAAUUCGACGCCUAGUGAAAUUUCUUCUUUGAAAUAGGCUAAAUCUUUCAAACAAACUUUGGAGUCAAAACUCCAAUGCCUUUUUGUGAAAUAAAAAUAAAGAUCAAAUUCGACAUUUUUCUUCUAUGCCUUACGGCUUCUCUCCUCCUUCUCAAAAAAUCAUUUUCCAAAUAAAAAUGAGAUCUCAAUCAUCUUCUCUCCCCCAUUCUUCACUCAAAUAAAACUUCUUUUCUUUCAACAAGUAGGCAAUAAAAAUAAAGCGUAGAAAUAAGCUUAGGAGAACGGUUCUUAUGGAGUACCAUGAUCGCUCCGGGUGCCUAACACCUUCCCGUAGCAAAAACGACCCCCGAACUUAGAAUCUAAGGGUUUUUUCUCAAUUUUGCCCUUCCCGAGAAAAAAUAGAGAAUAUCAAAGAUUGAAAGGUUCAAGCCAAAUUAAUGACUUGACACCCGAAAAUCGCGAUAACAGUACCCUUGAGCUACCAAUCUAGCUUUGUUUCUGAUAACUUUUCCUUCUUCAUUUAGUUUAUUUCUAAAUACACAUCUUGUUCCAAUGAUGGAUUGAUUUUGAGGUUUAGGAACAAGAUUCCAUACUUCAUUCUUUUCAAAUUGAGAGAGUUCUUCUUCCAUGGCUUUUACCCAUGAUUCUUCACAUAUUGCUUCUUGUAUAUUUUUUGGUUCAAUGUGAGAGAUCAUUGCCAUGUUGACAUCAUUAUUCAUAAAUGAUCGUCUUGUUCUUAUUCCAUCAGAUGUGUCUCCAAUGAUUUGUUCAGGAGGAUGAUCACCGACAGUUUUCCAGCUUUUUGGAAGAACUUGAGAAGAAUGUUCUUGAGAAUCAUUACUUUCUUUUUGAGGAAUUUCUUCUUCAUCUUCUUUGUUGAUUAUCAAGUCAUCAAACUCAUCAAAAAUAACAUGCAUGCUUAUUUCCAUGGUUUGAUUUUUCAAAUUAUAAAUUCUAUAUCCUUUGGAGUUUGUUGCAUAUCCUAAGAAUAUUCCUUUAUCUGAUUUUGAAUCAAAUUUUCCUAGAUUUUCUUUAUCAUUUAAAAUAUAACAAUAACAUCCAAAAACAUGAAAAUAUGAGAUGUUAGGUUUUACAUUUUUCCAGAGUUCGUAUGGGGUUUUGUUUAAAACUUUUCUAAUUGAAACCCUGUUUAUGAUAUAGCAAGAAGUAUUUAUGGCUUCAGCCCAAAAGUAUUUUUCUACAUUUGAUUCAUUUAACAUUGUUCUUGCCAUUUCUUGGAGUGUUCUAUUUUUUCUUUCAACAACUCCAUUUUGUUGUGGAGUUCUUGCACAUGAAAAAUUAUGAGAGAUUCCUUUUUCAUCAAAGAAAUUUUUAAAGAAAGCAUUUUCAAAUUCUCCUCCAUGAUCACUUCUUACUGAAAUGAUUUUUUGAUUCUUUUUCAUUUUGAACUAAUGUGCAAAAAGUUUUGAAUGCUUCAAAAGCUUCAUCUUUAUGUUUUAAAAAUAGAACCCAUGUAUAUCUGGAAAAAUCAUCAACUAUAACAAAACCAUAUUGUUUUCCACUUAAACUGGCGGUUCUAACAGGACCAAAUAGAUCUAUGUGAAGUAGUUCAAGAGGUCUCUUAGUUGAAACAAAAUCAUUUGUUUUAAAACUGCUUUUAACUUGUUUACCUCUUGUACAAGCUUCGCAAAUUCUAUCUUUUUCAAAAUCAAUUUUUGGAAGUCCUCUUACGAGAUCCAGUUUGGAGAUUUUUGAAAUAGUUUUCAUACUUAUAUGUCCAGCUCUUUUGUGCCAAAUCCAUUUAUCUUUUUCAAGCAUCAUAAAACAUGUUUCUGCUGGAAUAUCAUCUAAGUAUAAAGCAUAUAGGUUUUUCUUUCUAGAAGCAGUAAAGAAAAUCUUACCUGAGGAUGUGUGUUUUACAAUACAUAUAUUAGGUUUGAAAACAACUUCGAAGCCACUAUCACAUAAUUGACUUAUGCUUAGUAGAUUGUGUUUUAAACCUUCAACAUAUUGAACAUCCUCAAUUUUUGCAGAGUCUUUUUUACCAAUGAUACCUUUACCUUUAAUUUGUCCUUUGUCAUUAUUGCCAAAGGUUACUAGACCUCCUUCCUUUUUUAUGAAGGAGAUGAAACAUUGUUUAUCCCCAGUCAUGUGUCUAGAACAACCACUGUCCAAGUACCAUGGCUUUGUUCUUGCAUCUUGUGAGAAUCCCUGCAUUUUGAGUUAGUGGUUCCUUAGGUACCCAUGAAGAUGUGGGUCCUUUGAGGUUAGUUUCUUUAAUCUCAAGUUGUUUAAUCUUGAGAAAACAGUUUAAUUCUCGAUAACCUACUCUCUUACAAUAUGAGCAUUCUUUUCUUUUUAAUGAUAAAGAAUGUUCUGGAGAAUGUUCUGAGAUAGAUUGUUCUUCUUUAAUUUCUAGUUUUCUCCUUUUAUGAAAACAGACAGAUUCAUGAUGUCCUCUUUUAUUACAGAAUGAACAUUUUAGUUUUUGUGGUAUAAGACACUUGUUAUCAUGGUUUUUGGGUGCCAAGCCAUUAAUUUGGACUUGAACCUUUUGACCGUUGAUAUCUCUCUUUUUUCUUGGGAAGGGUAAAAGGAGAAAAACCCUUGAGUUUCCGGAUUCGGGGGUCGAUUUCGCUACGGGAAGGUGUUAGGCACCCGGAGCGAUUAUGGUAUUCCAUAAGAACCGUUCUCCUAAGUUUAUUUCUACGCUUUAAUUUUAUUGCUUAUUUGUAAAAAAAGAAGGUGUGAUUAGUUAAGAAUGGGGGUGAGAAGAAGUAGAAUUUGAUUUUUUUGUUUCGGCUUGGAUGAGUUUUGACUCAUUGCCUACGUACCCUUUUAAGGGAUCAAAACCGUUCGUAGUUCAUUCUCAAAAAUAGUUUUUGUGUUUGUUGGUUGAUUUUAGGUUUGAAAAGAGAUUUUGAAGAAUAGAGAUGAGAGGCCUCAAGGGCAUAAGGUUUGGAAAGUGUGAGGUGGAUUUAGUCAUUUUGCAAAAAUAAAGUCUAAGAAGGGUUAAGAUUCAUUGAAAGUUUUACUUAAGAAAAUAAAAAGGGAAAUAAGGAGUUUUGACUCCAUUUUAUUUUCAAAAAAAAGAUUUUCAAGUGAAGUUAUUUGCAUGUUCUUUUUGGAAAAAAGUUGGAUUUUUAUCUAAGUGUUCAAACCUAAACGCUUAUCUAACCAUACAAUCCUAUGCAUACAUCUAAGGUGAGUGUGUGCGUGUCGGUGCGUCAUAGUGUCCAUAGUCCAUAUUACAAAAAUUGCCUAAAUACAUUCUAUGGCCCCUUUGCCAAGCUACAAACCAAUGAUAACAAAUUACAUUACCAAAUGAAUUAAAACUUGCAAAAAAAAUAAAUGCUAAGCUAAAGAAAGUGGAGAGAGUGGUGGAAUGCUAUGAAAUGUAUGGCACAUGAGAUGAAAUGGUUAGUAAUCAUAAAGCACACAAUAGUAGGAAGUAAUUAAAAGGAAAUGCAUAAAGAUGGCAAAGAAAAAGUAAUAAAGUGGUAAUAAACCUAAAAGACAUUUGAUAUGAUACCUAAAGAUGCUAGUGGCCCAUAAUCAUCACAUCAUGGCAAUUUAGAAAGAAAUUUUGUUUCAAGCCAUGACAUGCAAUUAAUGGAGGCAUAUGCAUGCAAAAUAUCACACCAAGUUCAUAGAGAAAUUUGCCACUUUAUUCCUUAAAACUAAACUUGUUGCUUGCAAAACAAGAAAUUCAUAAAAUCAUAUUCAAAAACAGCAAACAAAAACACAUUUCCAGAGGCAUAUUCAUCACCAUAUUAGGCAUCCUUUAUCCAUGUCAUAAUAUCAAAAUGUCAAGAACAAAACAUAGCAAAAUGCAUACCAAAAGUGUAAAAACACAUGGAAUUAGUUCAUGCCACUUUAACAUCUUUUUUUAUGCAAGAAACACCAUAGAAAUGCCAAAAAUAUACCAAGAAAUAACCAGGAUUUUUAGGAUUUUUUUAUAAAAAAAGUGAGCAAGAAACAGGUGCAAGUAGCAAAGAAAUACGGUGCAAAUAGCAAAAAAACAAAAAAAACGUGAAAGAAAACUAAGCCCAAACCCAAAGCCCACACUCAAGACUCAGACUGCACAGGAGCCACACGAUUGAUCUAGGAUUCUGAAACCCUAGAUCAAACGGCCAGGAACAAGGGGGACUGGACCGGAAAUAAACCGGUCCGGUUCACUGGCUAUAUAAACACAAAGGCUCCGGUUUUUUUCAUUUUCUCCUCUCCUUCUCUCUCUUCUCUCAUCCUAGUGAGAGAAGCUCCCACUUCUCUCUAGAAAUCCGGUUGUCUUCUCCGGCAUGGCUUAGCUCCUCCGGCGCGGUGGCCGGCCACCUCCAGGUGGCGGCGCCGCCGCCGGAAAAACUUCCUUGCUCCGAUUCAAAAAAUUUUUACGUUUUUAAACAUCCUUUUUCGUGCUAUUCAUGAAUCCGAGCUUGGUUUUUUGAAAAAGAUUUUCAACCGGAGUAGAUCUAAGUUUGAAGUUGCGGUUUUGAAUGAAGUUUUUCUUUGUUCUUUGUGCUUUUUGGCUACGUGCUUCUAGAAUCCUACAUGUUUAUACUUGAUUCUCCUUUUUAUCCAUUUUUUGCGAAAAAAAGGAAGUUUGAGUUUUACCUGUGGUUUUCUUGGUGGUUCCGAUCCGGAUCUUCAAGGAAAGCUUGAUUUUAGUCUUGUUCCGUUGAUUCUGGUUUGGUUCCCUGCUGUUCUGAUCCGCUCUUCUUCUUCACAGGUUCGGUAUAUGGAUUUUCGUCCCUCUUCUUCGUCUCCGGGAAAGCCUCUGCGAUCGUGCUUGAGUUCGCCGCUUUCAGUGGUGGACUCGCACUCGAAUUGCAGAGCAACGAUUCAAUGAUGAUGAUUCCUUGGCGAAUCUCUGAGAAUCGUGGAAAAUUCAAUGAAUUUCUUGAUGAUUUUGUGAUUCUGGUGAUUUAGGUUUUUUUGAUUUUUCUCUGUGUUCUUGAUGAUUUCUCUGUGAUUCUGGUUUUGAUCUAACUGACAAGAGAGAGAAAAAUUGAUUCUGUUUUUCUUCUUUGGUGAAGUGGCGUGUGAUUAAUGGCUUUGAAUCUGACUCACUGUUUAUAUAGUUGACAUGUGUACACUUGAGCCAAUGGAACUGUGACAUCUGGAUUUGUAUGGGAGGGGCACGGCCUUGGACUUAAAAUGGACUUUGGACCUUUUUGCAAAAAUAAGAAUUUUAAGGACUAAACUGCAAAAUUAAAAAAACUUGAAAUGAAAUAAACAAAAAAACAGUUUGGACAAAAAUGCAAUUUUGGGACCUCAAUUGAGGGACCAAAAUGCAAUUAAAAAUAAAAUUUGAAUAAAAAACAUAAUUUGACCAAACGUAAAGUGAAACAAAAAAUAAAAUUGACAAAACGGACUAAAACGAACCAAUGGCCUAAAUGAGGUACUUCAAAGUAACCUCCCCAUGCCAAAAUUUUAUGUGAAAUGACCAAAAUGCCCCUAGGGCUAAAAACGACCUAAACAGAUUGAAAUUGACUCAACACUGACUCAGACGCAAGUUUGAAAUGAAUUUUAACAAGGUUUACUGAUGAAAUGUAAAAAACAAUUCGAAAAGACUCAGAGACAGUCACAAGGAUGAAAAUGGGUCCCACUGCAGGAGAUGUCCAAAAUACCCUUCUGUAUGACUUUUUGCAAAUUUUGAAAUAAACUGUAGAAAAAGCAAUGCAAUGAUUCAGAGACACUUUUGAAUGACUUACAAGACAAGUAAAGACAUUUUGAAAGGUUUUAUGCAAGAAAAACAUAGGUAAAAUUGUGAUUGAAAAUACUGCGAGACAGAGACAAAUUGAACUGUGCAGUUGAAAUUUGAUAAUUGACAAAGUUUGAAAUGAAAUUGGGCCCAAUAUUUUUAGGUCCAAAAACAGGGUAUAACAACACUUUUCAUAAAUUUGAUUAAAACCUAAACCAGAUUUGUCAAAUUCUGCCAUUUGUGAACCUACAAUUUUUUGAAAUGUUUCUGUUGAUUUUAUAAAUUGUGAAAGAUCAUUUCUAAGUUCUUUGACUUCCUUUUUAAGAAUAAUAUUUUCAUUUUUAGAAUUUUCAGGAAGUUUUGUUUUUCCAAGAACUUUUAAUUUUUCAUUUACUUGAAAGUAAGAGUCUUGUAGACUUUGAAUGAUUUUCUUUUGAUCAUUAUUCAAAGUUCGAAGUUUCUCUUUUUCUUCUUUUAACUCAGAAAUUUCUUUUUGUAAAGAGUGACAUUUGUUUGUUAAAAAGUUUGAAUCAAAUAAAAGACUAUCAAAUUUAUUUUCUAACUCUUUAUAUACUAGAGGUUGGUUAAUAAGAAUUACCUCUUCGCUUUCUGAAUCUUCCAUUAGAACCAUGUUGGCUUCAGUGUCUUCAUCUUUUGAUUCUUCAAGAUCAUCCCAGGUAAACAUUGAUUUUGAGUAGGGAGAUUUCUUCUGACUCUUUUUGUUCAAUGGACAUUCGUUUUUGUAAUGUCCUAAUUUGUUGCAUCCAAAGCAAGUUACUUGACUUUUGUCAAUUUCUCCUUUUGAGUUAUCUUUCUUGUUGGGAAAGUAUUUCUUUAUUUGAUCUCUUCUUCUCAUCAUUCUUUGAAUCUUCUUUGUGAUGAGAGCUAGUUCGUCUUCUGCUUCCCCUUGGAUGUUUUCUUCUUCAUUGGCUUCUUCAGUUUCUUCGUUUUGUGGGAAGGCAUCUUUUUGUUCACUUUGAGAUGCUUUGAGAGCAACCAUCUUUCAUUUCCUUGAUGGUUUAUCAUCUUGAAGUAACGUCUCAUGAGCUUUUAAUGAUCCAAUGAGAUCUUCAAGAGCUAAGGAGUUUAAGUCUUUAGCUUGUGUGAUUGCAGUUACCAUGGGUCUCCAUGUGCUUGGAAGACAUCUUAAAAUUUUUCUUAUCCGAUCAUGAGUGGUAUAAGUUUUUCCCAGUGAUCUUAAUUCAUUCACAAUAGAUGUGAAUCUGGAGUACAUUUCAUCAAUGUUCUCAUCUUCGUUCAUUUCGAAGAUUUCAAAUUUUCUUACGCCAAUAUCUAUUCUUGUUUCUUUUACGUGGCUAGUUCCCUCAUGAUGAAUUUUUAGAGUGUCCCAAACUUCUUUUGCAGUGACACAUUCAUCAACUCUUUCACUUUCUUCCAUGCUUAGUGCGCAUGAUAGAAAGAGUCGAGCUUUGGAGUUUAGAAGUACUUUUUCUUUAUCUUCCUUUGACCAUGAUGCUUCUGGUGUGAGUGUAUCCACCUUUGUUGUUGCAUCAGUUGUCAUAGGUAUAUGUUCUCCAUUUGUGAUUAUUUUCCACAUAUCCACGUCUUGGGAUCUGAGGAAUAGUUUCAUUUUUCCUUUCCAGAAAUAAUAGUUCUUUCCAUUGAAGAAUGGUGGUCUUGUGCAUGAUAGACCUUCUGGUAUGUACUUUUCUUUUGACAUUGCCUUCUUCCUGAAUCUUUUCCUCCAACACUUGUUAGGUGUUUUUGUAGAGCCCGGGCUCUGAUACCAAUUAAAGUAGCAAUAAACGUCACAAGAAAGGGGGGUUUGAAUUGUGACCCUUUUAAAAAUUAUUCCUGAAACUUAAGUUUAGAUUUAUAUACUCAAGAAUAAUCUUGGUGUAUGUUAGCUUAACAAGAUUAGAGUAUAUAACAAUUAAUUGAAUUUAGAACAGAACAUUCUGAAGACUGAUUAUAAACAGAAUGAGAAAAAUGAUGUUAAGUUAAAAGAUUAUUUUAGCAAGGACCAGAAUGUUCUGGAGAUUAAUAAAAUAAUGUGUGUGUGUGUUGUGUAACUUUAAAUAAAGAGAGAGAUAGAGAUAGAGAGAGAGAGAGAGAGAGAAGAAUAACACAGGAGAGUUAUCCUGGUUCACCAAACCCGGCUACUUCCAGUCCCCACACCUCGUGUGAGAUUAUCCACUAUAGUUUUCUUGCUAACAGAAACUUCUGACUAGCACUACAAUAUCUUGAUCACACCAGAUCAGUCCGUAACCUCUGUAUUAUCAACCUCAGCAGGCUUAUACAAUUCUUUGCACACUAGCAAAAGAAAGGUUGGAAUUUUCUAUCUCAAAACUAUUAAGCCCAAUAGACUUUGAGAAAUACAACACUCUUUGUAUGAAGAGAUUUGUUUUGGAUCGAAUAAAUACUCAAAUCUUUGUUUGAGUUUUACAAGAGGCAAAUUCAAGAGAGAUGAUCCAAGAGAUAUAGUGAGAGAGCUUGGAAUUUGCUUUGUUUGUGAAGAGCUUUGUUUGUAGUGAUGAUUUUCACUUUGAGAGAUAUUAGCUUGCAAAACUCUUGCUUAUGACCUUCAAAGGCCCUUGUAUUUAUAGGUGAGGAGUGUCUUGGUACCAAGGGAGAAAAUAGAGCUGUUGGACACGUUUUUGAUAGCUGUCCAAAGUCUCAAUUGAUUUCUCUUUUCUUCUUUAAAAUAGCCAGAACGUUCUCAGAAUGUUCUUUCUGAUUUGCCUGACUUAGAAAGCACUGUUGCUUUGCUUGCGCAUGAGAUAACCAGCUGUGAUGAGCUGUAUAACUUGCAGCCCACUUCUGAUGAUGUCAUGUCCUUUUGCUCUAGUGAUGUCAUGCUUAAGUAAGCCAUGUGAUCUUAUCCAUUUAAUGGGCUUUACUUUUUCAAAUGGGCUUAAAGCUUUUCUUAUGGCCCAAUAGACAUAAUCAGCCAAGCUUUCUUGCUGUGCAGACUUGUUCGCUUUUGAUGUACUGUUCCAUUUUCAUCGUUUUCGCCAGAACGUUCUCAAUUCAUUCUCAUGAAACAAAUUCUCACAAAAACGAAUUAGUAGAUAACAAGAUUAAAUAAAUAUAAUAUGUUUGUAAUCUUUAAAACAUCAAAUAAGGAUUUUGUCUCAACAACUUUGUCCUCCGCACGAUUUAUUAGGAGCUUUGUCCUCCGCACGUUUAAAGUAUAUUAAUACUUAUGAUGACGAUUGGUACCACAUGCAUAUAAGGAGUCUAAGAGCAUUGUCGCAUUGUCGUGUCUAAGAUGCUAUGUUGUUGAUGAUGAUUGAAUAUGUGAUUACGUGAUAAUUGUUUAUCAAAUAUGCAAAGUUGUUUAAGAUUGAAUAUGAUGUUAAUGUUAAUUUAUGAUUCGAAUUACAUUGAUUAAUAUUAUUUUGUUAUGAAAUCUCACCCCUUCUGCUUGAAAAUGUUGCCCUUCGUAUGGGUAACUUGCAGGUGAUCGUGCUUAGUGUGCAGUUUGCCGUUGUGAGUGGCCUUGCCUCGCUGUGUCGUCUAGGUCGCUCUGAUACGUAACGGGAUGGGGUUUUAUGUUAUGCAUGCUUCAUUCUCUUACGUAACUAAUAUGUUAUUUUUAUAAUAUUAUCAAUUAUGAUUUGAAAUAUUUUGAUGGGGCCUGCGUGCCGAAACGUUUUAUGGAUUAUGAUAUAAUUUCCGCUGCAAUGUUUAAGUUAUUUGGUUAAAUUAUUAUUUAACUGUUUUGGAUUAUGUUAUAUGUGAUAUCCCGUUGUUUACGAUGCUUACUCUGAUAAAUGUUUUAAGAAAUUUUUAUAUUGGGAAAACGGAGUGUUACAGAAACUCCCCCUAUAAAUACCGCAUUCCUCAUUCACAAUUUCUCAUUCAUAACGAAGUGGUUCAAGAGGAAUGCAGUCACUAUGCAUCUAGGGAGGAUUCUCUCUCUUCACUCCAAAUUUUUCUAGAGUAUUUUUAUUUCUUUUAUAAUUUCUCUUUAGUUACCAUGGGUAACUAAAUCUUUUUAGGCUUGGGUUCUAAGAUUAACCUCUAUUCUGGUUGUUGGAUAAUUUAUGUAAAGUCUUUAUUUUAGUUAUUUAUCUUUAUGCUACUAGUUUUACUGUUGUUGCGUAAGAUUUGUCUACUAAAGCAUAAUCUACUUAGAAUAAUUGAACGUGAGUUAACUGUUAAUUAAUUCCAACAAAAUGAAUAGAGAUGAUUCAAAUUAUGUUCAAUAUUUAAGCUAACUGUGUCCUCUAUUUAAAUUAAUUGUUAUAUAUUAUAAACCUGAUAUAGCAUAGCCUAUAUAGGGCUCACAUGAAGCGAUCACAAUCGAUAAAACUAUAUUCUAUAGCUAACGGUUGAUCCUACAAUACGCUCAAUCAAUGCAAAAAUAUGUUGUCACCUAUUGGGUUCAUAUUUCUAUAAAUAACUUUGCCACGGCCAAACAGUAUUAUUUCUCUUUUGUGUUUUUUUCUUUUUAUAUCAUGAAAGGUCAAAAUAAUGGAUAUUUGUUAAAAUAAAAUAGCAUGAAUCCUUAUCAUUGAUGAGUUUUUUAUAUGACCUCCUUACUAAGCAUGAUAAAGAAACAAAUUGAACACAUUGAUGCAUUUAAGAGAUAUUUAAUAAUUAUUCUAAUUUUAAAAAGUAUCUAUAAUAUACAUAAAGAAAACUACCUCCUUUCAACACUUUUGGGUUGAAUUUUUCUUUCUAAAAAUGUCAUCAAUUUUCAAUACAAAUAAUACAUAUAAUAAAUAGACAAGAAUAAAUUUAAAUAUUAAAAAAACGUAACAAAUACGAUAUGAAUAUAUAUAUAUAUAUAUAUAUAUAUAUAUAUGUGUGUGUGUGUUUUUUUUUUCUUUAUCAUUUAAAAAGUGUAACAAACUAAAUGAGUAUAUUUAUAUUUAAUUUUUUCCAAUUACAUCUUUAAACAACUUUUUCUAUAAUAAAGAUUGUUGUUGGUGUUAUUGAAAUAAAUAAUCAUGUUUAAUUUGGUUUGUUAUACCUAGAAAGCAACAAAAAUUUAUAUUUUUAGUUUUAAUCAAAAUCAAAAUUUCAUAAAAAAAAAAAUAUAAUUCAUAAUUUUCAAAUUUUAACGCGGUAAAAAGAGUGAAAAUACGGGCACGUAAGUGCCCAUCUUUACGCUAAUUUUUAUAAUUGCAUAAGUGACUUUUUAGCUGAUGAAACGAUAUCAUAAUCUUUAUAAAUUGUAAAACCACAUUCUAUUUGUUAUAUGCAAAAGGCGAGAAAUAUGGCUAAACUUGUCAAGCUUGUUUAUGUUAUAAUUGUGUUUUAUACCCUAUUUCUUGUUGCAACGGAAAUUGUUUGUGAGCUAAUUUUUCAUACUCUUGAAAUUUCCUUUUAUUUCUUUUUAUCUCGUUUUAGUAACAUUAUUUUGUUCUUUUUCCUUCAAUACAGCGGGUAUUCCUUGUAACGAUGAUGUUGAUUGUCCACAGACUCUGUGUGAACAGUUAAUUGCCGACUUCAAGUAUAUGAUAGAUUUUAAGUCGGAGUGUGUUUCCCGUAUGUGUGCAUGUACCGGAAGUCCCGUUUAAGCUGCACUGGUGGUUGGUUUUGGUUCAAAAUGGAACAAUGAAAAAUACCUUUAAUAUUGGGUUGCUUAUAUAUUUUCACCAUAGAUGUGGAAAUCAUAAUAGGCUAUUAAUAAAAUUAUAAAUUAUACAUGUGGCCUUUAAAUAUCUUUUCUACGUACCCUUGUUAUUAAUUAAUUACUAAAAUCAAAAGAAAUUUCCUUCUCAAUUACAUGUCGUUGAGUUUUCCACCUAGAUAUGUGUUGUAUUUUUUUAUCUUAUUAAAAUAACAUAAAAUCUUAUUUACUCUCAAUCAAAAUCAAUCUAGAAUAUAAGGGUGUCUCUAUGUACUUCUCUAGGUGUGUGUUUAAUUGUUUUUUUUGUUGCAUAUAUGCAAAUAUCAAGUCAUAAAAACAUGUUUUACCUUAAUAAACACAACCAGGUGUUACUAAAAAAAUAUAAUCAUAAAAACCUAUAAUGAAAUAUAGAUAUACAAAUCAAGGAUAGAGGGAAAAGAAAUAUCUUCAAAUAAUAGAUGGAAAAUAGUGUUUUAUUUCUUUCUUCAUUACGAGAACUACGAUCUUUGGCUCUGGAACUGAAUCAUUUCCUUGUAUCUGAGAAAGACUUCCAGAUUCAAAGGAAGGAAGUUUAAUUGGACUGAAUCAGAAAUUUUAUUCUAUGAUUGAUCAGUAUAAACAUCAACACCUUCGAAUUGGAUCAGUUUCUCCUGAACAAAUAAGUGCUUGGGCAAAAAAAAUCCUACCUAAUGGAGAAAUUGUUGGAGAGGUAACAAAACCCUAUACUCUUCAUUACAAAACCAAUAAGCCUGAAAAAGAUGGAUUAUUUUGUGAACGAAUUUUUGGGCCUAUAAAAAGUGGGAUUUGUGCUUGUGGAAAUUAUCGAGUAAUCGGAGAUAAAAAAGACCAACCCAAAUUUUGUGAACAAUGCGGAGUAGAAUUUGUUGAUUCUCGGGUACGUAGGUAUCAAAUGGGGUAUAUAAAACUAGCAUGUCCAGUAACCCAUGUAUGGUAUUUGAAACGUCUUCCUAGUUAUAUUGCGAGCCUUUUAGAUAAACCUCUUAAAGAAUUAGAAGGUCUAGUAUACUGCGAUGUGUGAUUUGAUAAAAAUUCUUAUUGUACAGAUUUCAAAUGAGAAACUGUCAUUCCAUUCAAUUAAAUUGGAAUGUCCUCUAUCUGGCAUGUCUCUUGGGAUGAGUAACAUGAAGCUCAGAAUUCAUGGGUGUAUUGAAUACUCCCAAAUCAAUAAGGGAAUUGGUCUAUGGUCAAUUCAGUAACAAAUAAAUAUUUAUUUAUAACCGUACGUACCUUGUGAAAAAAAAAAAAUUAUUUUUUUGUGGAAUUAAUUAUUUCAUCUCUUUUUUUUUUAAGAACUUAAAUUAAGUUCAAAGAAUAAAAUAUAAUAUAUCAUGAUUGCCGAAGUCUAUCUAUCGCAUAUAGGCUUAAAGACAUCGUGGCAUAACCGUCGAGGUGACGUCUUGACCUAAAAGAUCAAAUGGUAUGAUACAUAGACAAAGAAAUCUCUUAUGAAUUCGAGGAUAUUCCUUUUUUUUAUUAAAAAGUAUAUUUUAAAGGAUUCUUCGUUCGAAGGGAGGUAGACUACUCAAGAAUUUUACAUUGAAUUUCUGUCGUAAUUUCGAAUUGCAUAAAGAAUUCAGAAACAAAGAAGAAUGUAUCAAUGAAAUGUUGCUUCGUCUGUAUUGAUAACUUGAGUAAAGAGUAAACCUUUUUUAUUUUAGAUUUAGAGGUUUUCAAAAAUUUGAAAACGGAAACCACUUUCUUUAUCUUUAUUGUGUGUAAAUACUUUAGCCGGAUGAGAGGAAACCCUCACGUCCGAUUUUCAAAGGGGGAGAUCCAUCUUAUUGGAUCCUAUCCAAAUUUUUCGUUUGCUAGGCCCGUAGUUAAAAAACCUACUUUCUUACGAUUACGAGGUUCAUUCGAAUACGAAAUCCAAUCUUGGAAAUACAGUAUCCCACUCUUUUUUGCUACUCAAGGUUUCGAUACAUUUCGAAAUAGAGAAAUUUCUAGUGGAGCAGGUGCUAUACGAGAACAAUUAGUUGAUUUGGAUUUAAGAAUUAUUAUGGAUUCUUCGUUGGUAGAAUGGAAAGAAUUAGGAGAAGAGGGAUCCGCCGACAAUGAAAAUGAAAAUGAAUGGGAAGAUCGAAAAGUAGGAAGAAGAAAGAAUUUUUUGGUUCGACGCAUGGAAUUAGUUAAGCACUUUAUCCGAACAAAUAUAGAACCAGAAUGGAUGGUUUUAUCUCUCUUACCAGUUCUUCCUCCCGAAUUGAGACCAAUUAUUCAAAUAGAUGGAGGGAAACUAAUGAGUUCGGAUAUUAAUGAACUCUAUAGAAGAGUUAUCUAUCGGAACAAUACUCUUAUUGACCUAUUAACAACAAGUAGAUCUACACCAGGGGAAUUAGUAAUGUGUCAAGAAAAAUUGGUACAAGAAGCCGUGGAUACACUCCUUGAUAAUGGAAUCCGCGGACAACCAAUGAGGGACGGUCAUAAUAAAGUUUACAAAUCGUUUUCAGAUAUAAUUGAGGGCAAAGAGGGAAGAUUUCGAGAGACUCUGCUUGGAAAACGAGUUGAUUAUUCGGGGCGUUCUGUUAUUGUCGUAGGUCCAUCACUUUCAUUACAUCGAUGUGGAUUGCCCCGCGAAAUAGCAAUAGAGCUAUUUCAGACAUUUCUAAUUCGUGGUUUAAUUCGAAAACAUUUUGCUUCGAACAUAGGAGUUGCUAAGAGUAAAAUACGGGAAAAAGAACCGAUUGUAUGGGAAAUACUUCAAGAAGUUAUGCGGGGGCAUCCAGUAUUGCUGAAUAGAGCGCCUACUUUGCAUAGAUUGGGCAUACAGGCAUUUCAACCUAUUUUAGUAGAAGGACGUGCUAUUUGUUUACAUCCAUUAGUGUGUAAGGGAUUCAAUGCAGACUUUGAUGGGGAUCAAAUGGCUGUUCAUGUGCCUUUAUCUUUGGAGGCUCAAGCAGAAGCUCGUUUACUUAUGUUUUCUCAUACAAACCUCUUGUCUCCGGCUAUUGGGGAUCCCAUUUCCGUACCAACUCAAGAUAUGCUUAUAGGACUUUACGUAUUAACUAGCGGAAAUCGUCGAGGUAUUUGUGCAAACAGGUAUAAUCCGUUUAAUUGCCGAAAUUCUAAAAAUGAAAAAAUUAGCAAUAAUAACUCUAAGUAUAUGAAAAAAAAAGAACCCUUUUUUUGCAAUUCCUAUGAUGCAAUUGGAGCUUAUCGACAGAAAAGAAUAAAUUUAGAUAGUCCUUUUUGGCUCCGGUGGCGAAUAGAUCAAUGCAUUAUGUCUUCAAGAGAAGUUCCUAUCGAAGUUCACUAUGAAUCUUUUGGUACCUAUUAUGAAAUUUAUGGGCAUUAUUUAGUAAUAAGAAGUAUAAAAAAAGAAAUUCGUUGUAUAUACAUUAGAACCACUGUUGGUCAUAUUUCUUUUUAUCGAGAAAUUGAAGAAGCUAUACAAGGUUUUUCUCGAGCCUAUUCAUAUGGUAUCUAAUCAUAUAGAUGGUUAGUGUUGAUAUCCAAGCUAGGUAAAUUUAUGUUAUGAUACUGGCGUAAAUUCAGGUCAACUAGCAUCUUUUCUAUUUUCUACGUGAAUAAACAUAAAGAAAAGGAAGUUUUCCAAUCAUUCACUCAAAUUCAUUGUCGAACCGAAUCCCACUGAGUGGAAUAUGGAGGUACUUAUGGCAGAACGGGCCAAUCUAGUCUUUCACUUUCUUCCAUGCUUAGUGCGCAUGAUAGAAAGAGUCGAGCUUUGGAGUUUAGAAGUACUUUUUCUUUAUCUUCCUUUGACCAUGAUGCUUCUGGUGUGAGUGUAUCCACCUUUGUUGUUGCAUCAGUUGUCAUAGGUAUAUGUUCUCCAUUUGUGAUUAUUUUCCACAUAUCCACGUCUUGGGAUCUGAGGAAUAGUUUCAUUUUUCCUUUCCAGAAAUAAUAGUUCUUUCCAUUGAAGAAUGGUGGUCUUGUGCAUGAUAGACCUUCUGGUAUGUACUUUUCUUUUGACAUUGCCUUCUUCCUGAAUCUUUUCCUCCAACACUUGUUAGGUGUUUUUGUAGAGCCCGGGCUCUGAUACCAAUUAAAGUAGCAAUAAACGUCACAAGAAAGGGGGGGUUUGAAUUGUGACCCUUUUAAAAAUUAUUCCUGAAACUUAAGUUUAGAUUUAUAUACUCAAGAAUAAUCUUGGUGUAUGUUAGCUUAACAAGAUUAGAGUAUAUAACAAUUAAUUGAAUUUAGAACAGAACAUUCUGAAGACUGAUUAUAAACAGAAUGAGAAAAAUGAUGUUAAGUUAAAAGAUUAUUUUAGCAAGGACCAGAAUGUUCUGGAGAUUAAUAAAAUAAUGUGUGUGUGUGUUGUGUAACUUUAAAUAAAGAGAGAGAUAGAGAUAGAGAGAGAGAGAGAGAAGAAUAACACAGGAGAGUUAUCCUGGUUCACCAAACCCGGCUACUUCCAGUCCCCACACCUCGUGUGAGAUUAUCCACUAUAGUUUUCUUGCUAACAGAAACUUCUGACUAGCACUACAAUAUCUUGAUCACACCAGAUCAGUCCGUAACCUCUGUAUUAUCAACCUCAGCAGGCUUAUACAAUUCUUUGCACACUAGCAAAAGAAAGGUUGGAAUUUUCUAUCUCAAAACUAUUAAGCCCAAUAGACUUUGAGAAAUACAACACUCUUUGUAUGAAGAGAUUUGUUUUGGAUCGAAUAAAUACUCAAAUCUUUGUUUGAGUUUUACAAGAGGCAAAUUCAAGAGAGAUGAUCCAAGAGAUAUAGUGAGAGAGCUUGGAAUUUGCUUUGUUUGUGAAGAGCUUUGUUUGUAGUGAUGAUUUUCACUUUGAGAGAUAUUAGCUUGCAAAACUCUUGCUUAUGACCUUCAAAGGCCCUUGUAUUUAUAGGUGAGGAGUGUCUUGGUACCAAGGGAGAAAAUAGAGCUGUUGGACACGUUUUUGAUAGCUGUCCAAAGUCUCAAUUGAUUUCUCUUUUCUUCUUUAAAAUAGCCAGAACGUUCUCAGAAUGUUCUUUCUGAUUUGCCUGACUUAGAAAGCACUGUUGCUUUGCUUGCGCAUGAGAUAACCAGCUGUGAUGAGCUGUAUAACUUGCAGCCCACUUCUGAUGAUGUCAUGUCCUUUUGCUCUAGUGAUGUCAUGCUUAAGUAAGCCAUGUGAUCUUAUCCAUUUAAUGGGCUUUACUUUUUCAAAUGGGCUUAAAGCUUUUCUUAUGGCCCAAUAGACAUAAUCAGCCAAGCUUUCUUGCUGUGCAGACUUGUUCGCUUUUGAUGUACUGUUCCAUUUUCAUCGUUUUCGCCAGAACGUUCUCAAUUCAUUCUCAUGAAACAAAUUCUCACAAAAACGAAUUAGUAGAUAACAAGAUUAAAUAAAUAUAAUAUGUUUGUAAUCUUUAAAACAUCAAAUAAGGAUUUUGUCUCAACAACUUUGUCCUCCGCACGAUUUAUUAGGAGCUUUGUCCUCCGCACGUUUAAAGUAUAUUAAUACUUAUGAUGACGAUUGGUACCACAUGCAUAUAAGGAGUCUAAGAGCAUUGUCGCAUUGUCGUGUCUAAGAUGCUAUGUUGUUGAUGAUGAUUGAAUAUGUGAUUACGUGAUAAUUGUUUAUCAAAUAUGCAAAGUUGUUUAAGAUUGAAUAUGAUGUUAAUGUUAAUUUAUGAUUCGAAUUACAUUGAUUAAUAUUAUUUUGUUAUGAAAUCUCACCCCUUCUGCUUGAAAAUGUUGCCCUUCGUAUGGGUAACUUGCAGGUGAUCGUGCUUAGUGUGCAGUUUGCCGUUGUGAGUGGCCUUGCCUCGCUGUGUCGUCUAGGUCGCUCUGAUACGUAACGGGAUGGGGUUUUAUGUUAUGCAUGCUUCAUUCUCUUACGUAACUAAUAUGUUAUUUUUAUAAUAUUAUCAAUUAUGAUUUGAAAUAUUUUGAUGGGGCCUGCGUGCCGAAACGUUUUAUGGAUUAUGAUAUAAUUUCCGCUGCAAUGUUUAAGUUAUUUGGUUAAAUUAUUAUUUAACUGUUUUGGAUUAUGUUAUAUGUGAUAUCCCGUUGUUUACGAUGCUUACUCUGAUAAAUGUUUUAAGAAAUUUUUAUAUUGGGAAAACGGAGUGUUACAGAAACUCCCCCUAUAAAUACCGCAUUCCUCAUUCACAAUUUCUCAUUCAUAACGAAGUGGUUCAAGAGGAAUGCAGUCACUAUGCAUCUAGGGAGGAUUCUCUCUCUUCACUCCAAAUUUUUCUAGAGUAUUUUUAUUUCUUUUAUAAUUUCUCUUUAGUUACCAUGGGUAACUAAAUCUUUUUAGGCUUGGGUUCUAAGAUUAACCUCUAUUCUGGUUGUUGGAUAAUUUAUGUAAAGUCUUUAUUUUAGUUAUUUAUCUUUAUGCUACUAGUUUUACUGUUGUUGCGUAAGAUUUGUCUACUAAAGCAUAAUCUACUUAGAAUAAUUGAACGUGAGUUAACUGUUAAUUAAUUCCAACAAAAUGAAUAGAGAUGAUUCAAAUUAUGUUCAAUAUUUAAGCUAACUGUGUCCUCUAUUUAAAUUAAUUGUUAUAUAUUAUAAACCUGAUAUAGCAUAGCCUAUAUAGGGCUCACAUGAAGCGAUCACAAUCGAUAAAACUAUAUUCUAUAGCUAACGGUUGAUCCUACAAUACGCUCAAUCAAUGCAAAAAUAUGUUGUCACCUAUUGGGUUCAUAUUUCUAUAAAUAACUUUGCCACGGCCAAACAGUAUUAUUUCUCUUUUGUGUUUUUUUCUUUUUAUAUCAUGAAAGGUCAAAAUAAUGGAUAUUUGUUAAAAUAAAAUAGCAUGAAUCCUUAUCAUUGAUGAGUUUUUUAUAUGACCUCCUUACUAAGCAUGAUAAAGAAACAAAUUGAACACAUUGAUGCAUUUAAGAGAUAUUUAAUAAUUAUUCUAAUUUUAAAAAGUAUCUAUAAUAUACAUAAAGAAAACUACCUCCUUUCAACACUUUUGGGUUGAAUUUUUCUUUCUAAAAAUGUCAUCAAUUUUCAAUACAAAUAAUACAUAUAAUAAAUAGACAAGAAUAAAUUUAAAUAUUAAAAAAACGUAACAAAUACGAUAUGAAUAUAUAUAUAUAUAUAUAUAUAUAUAUAUAUAUAUGUGUGUGUGUGUUUUUUUUUUCUUUAUCAUUUAAAAAGUGUAACAAACUAAAUGAGUAUAUUUAUAUUUAAUUUUUUCCAAUUACAUCUUUAAACAACUUUUUCUAUAAUAAAGAUUGUUGUUGGUGUUAUUGAAAUAAAUAAUCAUGUUUAAUUUGGUUUGUUAUACCUAGAAAGCAACAAAAAUUUAUAUUUUUAGUUUUAAUCAAAAUCAAAAUUUCAUAAAAAAAAAAAUAUAAUUCAUAAUUUUCAAAUUUUAACGCGGUAAAAAGAGUGAAAAUACGGGCACGUAAGUGCCCAUCUUUACGCUAAUUUUUAUAAUUGCAUAAGUGACUUUUUAGCUGAUGAAACGAUAUCAUAAUCUUUAUAAAUUGUAAAACCACAUUCUAUUUGUUAUAUGCAAAAGGCGAGAAAUAUGGCUAAACUUGUCAAGCUUGUUUAUGUUAUAAUUGUGUUUUAUACCCUAUUUCUUGUUGCAACGGAAAUUGUUUGUGAGCUAAUUUUUCAUACUCUUGAAAUUUCCUUUUAUUUCUUUUUAUCUCGUUUUAGUAACAUUAUUUUGUUCUUUUUCCUUCAAUACAGCGGGUAUUCCUUGUAACGAUGAUGUUGAUUGUCCACAGACUCUGUGUGAACAGUUAAUUGCCGACUUCAAGUAUAUGAUAGAUUUUAAGUCGGAGUGUGUUUCCCGUAUGUGUGCAUGUACCGGAAGUCCCGUUUAAGCUGCACUGGUGGUUGGUUUUGGUUCAAAAUGGAACAAUGAAAAAUACCUUUAAUAUUGGGUUGCUUAUAUAUUUUCACCAUAGAUGUGGAAAUCAUAAUAGGCUAUUAAUAAAAUUAUAAAUUAUACAUGUGGCCUUUAAAUAUCUUUUCUACGUACCCUUGUUAUUAAUUAAUUACUAAAAUCAAAAGAAAUUUCCUUCUCAAUUACAUGUCGUUGAGUUUUCCACCUAGAUAUGUGUUGUAUUUUUUUAUCUUAUUAAAAUAACAUAAAAUCUUAUUUACUCUCAAUCAAAAUCAAUCUAGAAUAUAAGGGUGUCUCUAUGUACUUCUCUAGGUGUGUGUUUAAUUGUUUUUUUUGUUGCAUAUAUGCAAAUAUCAAGUCAUAAAAACAUGUUUUACCUUAAUAAACACAACCAGGUGUUACUAAAAAAAUAUAAUCAUAAAAACCUAUAAUGAAAUAUAGAUAUACAAAUCAAGGAUAGAGGGAAAAGAAAUAUCUUCAAAUAAUAGAUGGAAAAUAGUGUUUUAUUUCUUUCUUCAUUACGAGAACUACGAUCUUUGGCUCUGGAACUGAAUCAUUUCCUUGUAUCUGAGAAAGACUUCCAGAUUCAAAGGAAGGAAGUUUAAUUGGACUGAAUCAGAAAUUUUAUUCUAUGAUUGAUCAGUAUAAACAUCAACACCUUCGAAUUGGAUCAGUUUCUCCUGAACAAAUAAGUGCUUGGGCAAAAAAAAUCCUACCUAAUGGAGAAAUUGUUGGAGAGGUAACAAAACCCUAUACUCUUCAUUACAAAACCAAUAAGCCUGAAAAAGAUGGAUUAUUUUGUGAACGAAUUUUUGGGCCUAUAAAAAGUGGGAUUUGUGCUUGUGGAAAUUAUCGAGUAAUCGGAGAUAAAAAAGACCAACCCAAAUUUUGUGAACAAUGCGGAGUAGAAUUUGUUGAUUCUCGGGUACGUAGGUAUCAAAUGGGGUAUAUAAAACUAGCAUGUCCAGUAACCCAUGUAUGGUAUUUGAAACGUCUUCCUAGUUAUAUUGCGAGCCUUUUAGAUAAACCUCUUAAAGAAUUAGAAGGUCUAGUAUACUGCGAUGUGUGAUUUGAUAAAAAUUCUUAUUGUACAGAUUUCAAAUGAGAAACUGUCAUUCCAUUCAAUUAAAUUGGAAUGUCCUCUAUCUGGCAUGUCUCUUGGGAUGAGUAACAUGAAGCUCAGAAUUCAUGGGUGUAUUGAAUACUCCCAAAUCAAUAAGGGAAUUGGUCUAUGGUCAAUUCAGUAACAAAUAAAUAUUUAUUUAUAACCGUACGUACCUUGUGAAAAAAAAAAAAUUAUUUUUUUGUGGAAUUAAUUAUUUCAUCUCUUUUUUUUUUAAGAACUUAAAUUAAGUUCAAAGAAUAAAAUAUAAUAUAUCAUGAUUGCCGAAGUCUAUCUAUCGCAUAUAGGCUUAAAGACAUCGUGGCAUAACCGUCGAGGUGACGUCUUGACCUAAAAGAUCAAAUGGUAUGAUACAUAGACAAAGAAAUCUCUUAUGAAUUCGAGGAUAUUCCUUUUUUUUAUUAAAAAGUAUAUUUUAAAGGAUUCUUCGUUCGAAGGGAGGUAGACUACUCAAGAAUUUUACAUUGAAUUUCUGUCGUAAUUUCGAAUUGCAUAAAGAAUUCAGAAACAAAGAAGAAUGUAUCAAUGAAAUGUUGCUUCGUCUGUAUUGAUAACUUGAGUAAAGAGUAAACCUUUUUUAUUUUAGAUUUAGAGGUUUUCAAAAAUUUGAAAACGGAAACCACUUUCUUUAUCUUUAUUGUGUGUAAAUACUUUAGCCGGAUGAGAGGAAACCCUCACGUCCGAUUUUCAAAGGGGGAGAUCCAUCUUAUUGGAUCCUAUCCAAAUUUUUCGUUUGCUAGGCCCGUAGUUAAAAAACCUACUUUCUUACGAUUACGAGGUUCAUUCGAAUACGAAAUCCAAUCUUGGAAAUACAGUAUCCCACUCUUUUUUGCUACUCAAGGUUUCGAUACAUUUCGAAAUAGAGAAAUUUCUAGUGGAGCAGGUGCUAUACGAGAACAAUUAGUUGAUUUGGAUUUAAGAAUUAUUAUGGAUUCUUCGUUGGUAGAAUGGAAAGAAUUAGGAGAAGAGGGAUCCGCCGACAAUGAAAAUGAAAAUGAAUGGGAAGAUCGAAAAGUAGGAAGAAGAAAGAAUUUUUUGGUUCGACGCAUGGAAUUAGUUAAGCACUUUAUCCGAACAAAUAUAGAACCAGAAUGGAUGGUUUUAUCUCUCUUACCAGUUCUUCCUCCCGAAUUGAGACCAAUUAUUCAAAUAGAUGGAGGGAAACUAAUGAGUUCGGAUAUUAAUGAACUCUAUAGAAGAGUUAUCUAUCGGAACAAUACUCUUAUUGACCUAUUAACAACAAGUAGAUCUACACCAGGGGAAUUAGUAAUGUGUCAAGAAAAAUUGGUACAAGAAGCCGUGGAUACACUCCUUGAUAAUGGAAUCCGCGGACAACCAAUGAGGGACGGUCAUAAUAAAGUUUACAAAUCGUUUUCAGAUAUAAUUGAGGGCAAAGAGGGAAGAUUUCGAGAGACUCUGCUUGGAAAACGAGUUGAUUAUUCGGGGCGUUCUGUUAUUGUCGUAGGUCCAUCACUUUCAUUACAUCGAUGUGGAUUGCCCCGCGAAAUAGCAAUAGAGCUAUUUCAGACAUUUCUAAUUCGUGGUUUAAUUCGAAAACAUUUUGCUUCGAACAUAGGAGUUGCUAAGAGUAAAAUACGGGAAAAAGAACCGAUUGUAUGGGAAAUACUUCAAGAAGUUAUGCGGGGGCAUCCAGUAUUGCUGAAUAGAGCGCCUACUUUGCAUAGAUUGGGCAUACAGGCAUUUCAACCUAUUUUAGUAGAAGGACGUGCUAUUUGUUUACAUCCAUUAGUGUGUAAGGGAUUCAAUGCAGACUUUGAUGGGGAUCAAAUGGCUGUUCAUGUGCCUUUAUCUUUGGAGGCUCAAGCAGAAGCUCGUUUACUUAUGUUUUCUCAUACAAACCUCUUGUCUCCGGCUAUUGGGGAUCCCAUUUCCGUACCAACUCAAGAUAUGCUUAUAGGACUUUACGUAUUAACUAGCGGAAAUCGUCGAGGUAUUUGUGCAAACAGGUAUAAUCCGUUUAAUUGCCGAAAUUCUAAAAAUGAAAAAAUUAGCAAUAAUAACUCUAAGUAUAUGAAAAAAAAAGAACCCUUUUUUUGCAAUUCCUAUGAUGCAAUUGGAGCUUAUCGACAGAAAAGAAUAAAUUUAGAUAGUCCUUUUUGGCUCCGGUGGCGAAUAGAUCAAUGCAUUAUGUCUUCAAGAGAAGUUCCUAUCGAAGUUCACUAUGAAUCUUUUGGUACCUAUUAUGAAAUUUAUGGGCAUUAUUUAGUAAUAAGAAGUAUAAAAAAAGAAAUUCGUUGUAUAUACAUUAGAACCACUGUUGGUCAUAUUUCUUUUUAUCGAGAAAUUGAAGAAGCUAUACAAGGUUUUUCUCGAGCCUAUUCAUAUGGUAUCUAAUCAUAUAGAUGGUUAGUGUUGAUAUCCAAGCUAGGUAAAUUUAUGUUAUGAUACUGGCGUAAAUUCAGGUCAACUAGCAUCUUUUCUAUUUUCUACGUGAAUAAACAUAAAGAAAAGGAAGUUUUCCAAUCAUUCACUCAAAUUCAUUGUCGAACCGAAUCCCACUGAGUGGAAUAUGGAGGUACUUAUGGCAGAACGGGCCAAUCUAGUCUUUCACUUUCUUCCAUGCUUAGUGCGCAUGAUAGAAAGAGUCGAGCUUUGGAGUUUAGAAGUACUUUUUCUUUAUCUUCCUUUGACCAUGAUGCUUCUGGUGUGAGUGUAUCCACCUUUGUUGUUGCAUCAGUUGUCAUAGGUAUAUGUUCUCCAUUUGUGAUUAUUUUCCACAUAUCCACGUCUUGGGAUCUGAGGAAUAGUUUCAUUUUUCCUUUCCAGAAAUAAUAGUUCUUUCCAUUGAAGAAUGGUGGUCUUGUGCAUGAUAGACCUUCUGGUAUGUACUUUUCUUUUGACAUUGCCUUCUUCCUGAAUCUUUUCCUCCAACACUUGUUAGGUGUUUUUGUAGAGCCCGGGCUCUGAUACCAAUUAAAGUAGCAAUAAACGUCACAAGAAAGGGGGGGUUUGAAUUGUGACCCUUUUAAAAAUUAUUCCUGAAACUUAAGUUUAGAUUUAUAUACUCAAGAAUAAUCUUGGUGUAUGUUAGCUUAACAAGAUUAGAGUAUAUAACAAUUAAUUGAAUUUAGAACAGAACAUUCUGAAGACUGAUUAUAAACAGAAUGAGAAAAAUGAUGUUAAGUUAAAAGAUUAUUUUAGCAAGGACCAGAAUGUUCUGGAGAUUAAUAAAAUAAUGUGUGUGUGUGUUGUGUAACUUUAAAUAAAGAGAGAGAUAGAGAUAGAGAGAGAGAGAGAGAAGAAUAACACAGGAGAGUUAUCCUGGUUCACCAAACCCGGCUACUUCCAGUCCCCACACCUCGUGUGAGAUUAUCCACUAUAGUUUUCUUGCUAACAGAAACUUCUGACUAGCACUACAAUAUCUUGAUCACACCAGAUCAGUCCGUAACCUCUGUAUUAUCAACCUCAGCAGGCUUAUACAAUUCUUUGCACACUAGCAAAAGAAAGGUUGGAAUUUUCUAUCUCAAAACUAUUAAGCCCAAUAGACUUUGAGAAAUACAACACUCUUUGUAUGAAGAGAUUUGUUUUGGAUCGAAUAAAUACUCAAAUCUUUGUUUGAGUUUUACAAGAGGCAAAUUCAAGAGAGAUGAUCCAAGAGAUAUAGUGAGAGAGCUUGGAAUUUGCUUUGUUUGUGAAGAGCUUUGUUUGUAGUGAUGAUUUUCACUUUGAGAGAUAUUAGCUUGCAAAACUCUUGCUUAUGACCUUCAAAGGCCCUUGUAUUUAUAGGUGAGGAGUGUCUUGGUACCAAGGGAGAAAAUAGAGCUGUUGGACACGUUUUUGAUAGCUGUCCAAAGUCUCAAUUGAUUUCUCUUUUCUUCUUUAAAAUAGCCAGAACGUUCUCAGAAUGUUCUUUCUGAUUUGCCUGACUUAGAAAGCACUGUUGCUUUGCUUGCGCAUGAGAUAACCAGCUGUGAUGAGCUGUAUAACUUGCAGCCCACUUCUGAUGAUGUCAUGUCCUUUUGCUCUAGUGAUGUCAUGCUUAAGUAAGCCAUGUGAUCUUAUCCAUUUAAUGGGCUUUACUUUUUCAAAUGGGCUUAAAGCUUUUCUUAUGGCCCAAUAGACAUAAUCAGCCAAGCUUUCUUGCUGUGCAGACUUGUUCGCUUUUGAUGUACUGUUCCAUUUUCAUCGUUUUCGCCAGAACGUUCUCAAUUCAUUCUCAUGAAACAAAUUCUCACAAAAACGAAUUAGUAGAUAACAAGAUUAAAUAAAUAUAAUAUGUUUGUAAUCUUUAAAACAUCAAAUAAGGAUUUUGUCUCAACAACUUUGUCCUCCGCACGAUUUAUUAGGAGCUUUGUCCUCCGCACGUUUAAAGUAUAUUAAUACUUAUGAUGACGAUUGGUACCACAUGCAUAUAAGGAGUCUAAGAGCAUUGUCGCAUUGUCGUGUCUAAGAUGCUAUGUUGUUGAUGAUGAUUGAAUAUGUGAUUACGUGAUAAUUGUUUAUCAAAUAUGCAAAGUUGUUUAAGAUUGAAUAUGAUGUUAAUGUUAAUUUAUGAUUCGAAUUACAUUGAUUAAUAUUAUUUUGUUAUGAAAUCUCACCCCUUCUGCUUGAAAAUGUUGCCCUUCGUAUGGGUAACUUGCAGGUGAUCGUGCUUAGUGUGCAGUUUGCCGUUGUGAGUGGCCUUGCCUCGCUGUGUCGUCUAGGUCGCUCUGAUACGUAACGGGAUGGGGUUUUAUGUUAUGCAUGCUUCAUUCUCUUACGUAACUAAUAUGUUAUUUUUAUAAUAUUAUCAAUUAUGAUUUGAAAUAUUUUGAUGGGGCCUGCGUGCCGAAACGUUUUAUGGAUUAUGAUAUAAUUUCCGCUGCAAUGUUUAAGUUAUUUGGUUAAAUUAUUAUUUAACUGUUUUGGAUUAUGUUAUAUGUGAUAUCCCGUUGUUUACGAUGCUUACUCUGAUAAAUGUUUUAAGAAAUUUUUAUAUUGGGAAAACGGAGUGUUACAGAAACUCCCCCUAUAAAUACCGCAUUCCUCAUUCACAAUUUCUCAUUCAUAACGAAGUGGUUCAAGAGGAAUGCAGUCACUAUGCAUCUAGGGAGGAUUCUCUCUCUUCACUCCAAAUUUUUCUAGAGUAUUUUUAUUUCUUUUAUAAUUUCUCUUUAGUUACCAUGGGUAACUAAAUCUUUUUAGGCUUGGGUUCUAAGAUUAACCUCUAUUCUGGUUGUUGGAUAAUUUAUGUAAAGUCUUUAUUUUAGUUAUUUAUCUUUAUGCUACUAGUUUUACUGUUGUUGCGUAAGAUUUGUCUACUAAAGCAUAAUCUACUUAGAAUAAUUGAACGUGAGUUAACUGUUAAUUAAUUCCAACAAAAUGAAUAGAGAUGAUUCAAAUUAUGUUCAAUAUUUAAGCUAACUGUGUCCUCUAUUUAAAUUAAUUGUUAUAUAUUAUAAACCUGAUAUAGCAUAGCCUAUAUAGGGCUCACAUGAAGCGAUCACAAUCGAUAAAACUAUAUUCUAUAGCUAACGGUUGAUCCUACAAUACGCUCAAUCAAUGCAAAAAUAUGUUGUCACCUAUUGGGUUCAUAUUUCUAUAAAUAACUUUGCCACGGCCAAACAGUAUUAUUUCUCUUUUGUGUUUUUUUCUUUUUAUAUCAUGAAAGGUCAAAAUAAUGGAUAUUUGUUAAAAUAAAAUAGCAUGAAUCCUUAUCAUUGAUGAGUUUUUUAUAUGACCUCCUUACUAAGCAUGAUAAAGAAACAAAUUGAACACAUUGAUGCAUUUAAGAGAUAUUUAAUAAUUAUUCUAAUUUUAAAAAGUAUCUAUAAUAUACAUAAAGAAAACUACCUCCUUUCAACACUUUUGGGUUGAAUUUUUCUUUCUAAAAAUGUCAUCAAUUUUCAAUACAAAUAAUACAUAUAAUAAAUAGACAAGAAUAAAUUUAAAUAUUAAAAAAACGUAACAAAUACGAUAUGAAUAUAUAUAUAUAUAUAUAUAUAUAUAUAUAUGUGUGUGUGUGUUUUUUUUUUCUUUAUCAUUUAAAAAGUGUAACAAACUAAAUGAGUAUAUUUAUAUUUAAUUUUUUCCAAUUACAUCUUUAAACAACUUUUUCUAUAAUAAAGAUUGUUGUUGGUGUUAUUGAAAUAAAUAAUCAUGUUUAAUUUGGUUUGUUAUACCUAGAAAGCAACAAAAAUUUAUAUUUUUAGUUUUAAUCAAAAUCAAAAUUUCAUAAAAAAAAAAAUAUAAUUCAUAAUUUUCAAAUUUUAACGCGGUAAAAAGAGUGAAAAUACGGGCACGUAAGUGCCCAUCUUUACGCUAAUUUUUAUAAUUGCAUAAGUGACUUUUUAGCUGAUGAAACGAUAUCAUAAUCUUUAUAAAUUGUAAAACCACAUUCUAUUUGUUAUAUGCAAAAGGCGAGAAAUAUGGCUAAACUUGUCAAGCUUGUUUAUGUUAUAAUUGUGUUUUAUACCCUAUUUCUUGUUGCAACGGAAAUUGUUUGUGAGCUAAUUUUUCAUACUCUUGAAAUUUCCUUUUAUUUCUUUUUAUCUCGUUUUAGUAACAUUAUUUUGUUCUUUUUCCUUCAAUACAGCGGGUAUUCCUUGUAACGAUGAUGUUGAUUGUCCACAGACUCUGUGUGAACAGUUAAUUGCCGACUUCAAGUAUAUGAUAGAUUUUAAGUCGGAGUGUGUUUCCCGUAUGUGUGCAUGUACCGGAAGUCCCGUUUAAGCUGCACUGGUGGUUGGUUUUGGUUCAAAAUGGAACAAUGAAAAAUACCUUUAAUAUUGGGUUGCUUAUAUAUUUUCACCAUAGAUGUGGAAAUCAUAAUAGGCUAUUAAUAAAAUUAUAAAUUAUACAUGUGGCCUUUAAAUAUCUUUUCUACGUACCCUUGUUAUUAAUUAAUUACUAAAAUCAAAAGAAAUUUCCUUCUCAAUUACAUGUCGUUGAGUUUUCCACCUAGAUAUGUGUUGUAUUUUUUUAUCUUAUUAAAAUAACAUAAAAUCUUAUUUACUCUCAAUCAAAAUCAAUCUAGAAUAUAAGGGUGUCUCUAUGUACUUCUCUAGGUGUGUGUUUAAUUGUUUUUUUUGUUGCAUAUAUGCAAAUAUCAAGUCAUAAAAACAUGUUUUACCUUAAUAAACACAACCAGGUGUUACUAAAAAAAUAUAAUCAUAAAAACCUAUAAUGAAAUAUAGAUAUACAAAUCAAGGAUAGAGGGAAAAGAAAUAUCUUCAAAUAAUAGAUGGAAAAUAGUGUUUUAUUUCUUUCUUCAUUAGGAGAUUUUCUAAGCUAAUAGGGUAAUUAAAAUCUUAAAUUUAAUCAUGCACAUUUAAACAAGAUGUGUGAAGAUGAAUUUGCUUCAAUCAAUUAGAAAGAAAAACAAAGAAGCAAUGAAAGUUGGGUUUAAUUUUACCUAAGAUAUUAUGAUAUGCAUACAUAAACAUUUUUUACCUACGAUAUUAUGAUAUGCAUACAUAAACAAAUUUUUUUGGCAAAAUUACAUUAAUAGUGUCCCUUAACUUAAUUUUAGGUAACGUUUUGGUCCUUUAUCUUAUUUUUUUAAUCCUUUAUCUUUUUAAAUGUUAACACUAUUAUCCCUUUUCUACAAAAACCCAACAAAUUCAUAACAAAAAUAAGUUGUUCAUCAAUAAACCUAUAUUUUCAUCAACAAAUACCAAAAACCCAGAUAUUUAUAAAAAUUCCAGAGAGAAAAAAAUGCAUUCAACUUCAGUUUUUGUUUCACAUAAACGUACUGAUUAUCAAAAUUAACAAAAGAUAUGAAUAAGUGUUCUGAGGGUAGGUGCAUUUAGCACACAAAACCAACACUCCAAAACCAUUAAGCAUUCAAAACCCAAAAGCAAUAAUAAGCUCCAGGUUUGUAAUUCAGAACUCUCUCUUUCACAAAGGCAAAGUGGCAGUAAGGCAAAUUGACAGUAAGGGUUUGAGUUUAUUUAAUUGAGAGAAGUGGGUUGAUAGAUGGUGGUGAUGUUGUUGGGGAAGAGCUGAAUUGGUGUAGGUUGUAUAAGAGGUUGGAAAUGUGAUUCAUUUUCAGCAUGAAAUGAUGAUAGAGCGCACAAAUAUGAUAUAGGAAAACAGAAAUGGUGAAGGGGAUUUUAUGAAGAUAUGUAUUUCUGGGUUUUAUUAUGAUGAAGAUAUGAGUUUUUUGUUAUGAAUUUGCUGGGUUUUUGUAGAAAAAGGAUAAUAUUGUUAACAUUUAAAAAGAUAAAGGAUUGAAAUGGGAAGAAAAAAAAUAAGAUAAAGGACCAAAACAUUACCUAAAAUUAAGUUAAGAAAUUAUUAGUGUAAUUUUGCCAUUUUUUUACAUAAGAUUAAUUUUCAUAUACUAUUAGGACUCGUUUAAUUGGUUAUGAUAAGAGAUAGAUAAGAUAAUUGUACCAUAUUCGACCUUAAUUCAAUGUUUGAUGAGACAACAACAUAAUUAAUUCUAAGAUUCUUUUCCCACAACAUGUAAGACAAGAUAUAAUAGUUUUAUUCUCCCAAUGUACAUUAAAACCCUUAUGUGAGGCUUAAGAGAGAUACAAGUAAAUGUUGAGAAAGUGUCUCAAUCAGGGGUGAAGUUAUAAGGGAGACCAGCAUAGACCAUAACCCCCUUCAAACUAUUUUCUAUUUUUUUAAUUUGUUUAUACUGGUGGGUAUUACUGCUAAUUGUUUGCAAGUCUUUUUAUUAUCAGAUUCAAAGGUUGCAGAAGCCUUAGCUAUGCGGAAGGUUUUGGAAUUUAUGAAAGACAUGUCUUUUCUGAAUCUUAUAGCAGAAUCAAAUGCUUCUAAUAUGGUCUUGGUGUUAAAUGCUCUCCAACAAUAUGGUCUUUAAUGUAUGUCUUCGUAGUUUAAAUUUUAAGCAUGUUAAGCGUGAAGCCAACCAAAGCUGCUCACUAUUUAGCUAAAUAGUAUGAUCUUCAUAAUUUAGAUUGCAUAUGAAUCGAAAAUAUUCUGUCUUAUAUUUAUGCAAUCUUGACAUUUGAUUUAUUGGUAAACUUUUUAUUAAUAAAAUUUUCUUUUAACUUAAAAAAAAGGGCGGAGGGAGUGAUUCUCUUUAAUGAAAUUUUCAAUUCUCUCUCUUUGGUCUUGUCAAACGAAU